rnacentral:snoRNA from 1 species
GCUGGUGUAAAUGAUGACUUCGCUUUUUUCCCCGUCAGAUCGACAAUGUUGAUGUCUUAGAAUAUUUAGCCAGUUUGUGCUGAUACACCAGC